rnacentral:rRNA from 1 species
ACCGGCGGCUCGAGUGGUGGCCACUAUUACUGGGCUUAAAGCGUUCGUAGCUGGCUUGUUAAGUCUCUGGGGAAAUCUUCCGGCUCAACCGGAAGGCGUCUCAGGGAUACUGGCAGGCUAGGGACCGGAAGAGGUGAGAGGUACUCCAGGGGUAGGAGUGAAAUCGUGUACUCCUUGAGGGACGACCUGAGGCGGAGGCGGCACACCAGGACGGCUCCGACGGUGAGGAACGUGAGUUCGGGGCGCAUACCG